UACAGAGGGUGCGAGCGUUAAUCGGAAUUACUGGGCGUAAAGCGUGCGUAGACGGUUAUUUAAGUCGGAUGUGAAAGCCCCGGGCUCAACCUGGGAAUUGCAGUGGAUACUGGCGAGCUAGAGUGCGGUAGAGGAUGGUGGAAUUCCCGGUGUAGCGGUGGAAAUGCGUAGAUAAUCUGGAGGAACACCGGUGGCGAAGGCGGCAUCCCUGGACCGG
rnacentral:rRNA from 1 species